rnacentral:rRNA from 1 species
UACAGAGGUCUCAAGCGUUGUUCGGAUUCAUUGGGCGUAAAGGGUGCGUAGGGGGCGUGGUAAGUCGGGUGUGAAAUUUCGGAGCUUAACUCCGAAACUGCAUUCGAUACUGCUGUGCUUGAGGACUGGAGAGGAGACUGGAAUUUACGGUGUAGCAGUGAAAUGCGUAGAGAUCGUAAGGAAGACCAGUGGCGAAGGCGGGUCUCUGGACAGUUCCUGACACUGAGGCACGAAGGCCAGGGGAGCAAACGGG